GUCUCCAUGGCGCAAUUGGUUAGCGCGUCUGACUGUUACGCCCAUUAGAAAUCAGGAGGUUGGCAGUUCAAUCCUGCCUGGGGACG